UAAAUACUCCCUCCGUCCCAUGUUAAGUGACUUUCUAUUACAUGUAUCUAGACACUUUUUAGGCAUAGAUACAUCCAUAUUUGGGCAAAUUUGAGUCACUUAAUAUGGGACGGAGGGAGUAAUUG
rnacentral:pre_miRNA from 1 species